rnacentral:lncRNA from 1 species
GUUUUAUUAUUGUACAACUGCUCUGACUGAAUAACCUUCUCUUGUCUCUAUUUUUGCUCUGCAACAAAUUACCUCUGAUUAAUCUUGCAGAUUUUUACAUGAGCAGAAUUUGAGCAGAAAAAAAUAGUUUGUGUUAAUCAGUCAUGUAGUGUUCCUGUGAAUUGAUUAAGCCACCCUAAAGUCCUUUCUGGAAUCAUAAGAAGGCUUCAUCGGGAGCUCCACCUGGGUAGAGCGGCAGGAUCAGAUUAACACAUCAAACACCGAAAUAGCUCCGUACAUAGACUGAAUAAAGUGGACUCUGCUCUGCCGUAAAUUGCCUGCAUUCCUGGGACGCUGCGGACCCUUCAAAGACAACAGAAACUGAGGAUGUUUUCACUGCUGAGGGGCUGGUAAAAUUCAGAUGAACAGAGAGCUUUUGGUUCAUAUCAAAAUAUAAUUCCAUGUGGAAUACAGAACUUGAAACUUUAAUAUGCACAAAAUACAGAUGGCAGUGGAAAAAACAAUAGAAUCUUGGAAUGAAAAAGUCCCCAGAUUACUCUGUUGUGAAAACAAGUCCUUGACAUUCUUCCCGUUCAUCUAGGGAGAUGCUGACAUCCACUUUGUUACCUUUGCCUGAAGGUCCAAAUACAAU